GCUCAUUUGAGGCAGGAGCUGGUUGCGAUGCAGGACCAUCCAUGAGAUUUCCCCGGAGGGGAGAAUGUUCCAGGCAAAGGGGCCAACACAGGAUGCAUCAGCCCAUUAGGGUAAUUAAAGCCUUUGUUACCCAUGUCAUUGUGAGUUAUGGCUGCCCUCGAUUCAAGAGAACAGCUCCAACCUGCCCUAGUUGACCGGAUGACCGACACACAAUUAAGAAUUUUGAGAAAAGAUCUGAACAAGGAUUUUGGUGGGUGAUGGCUUUGCAUCUGGAAAAUGUUCUUUAGAUGCCAAAAUAGUGGAUUUUCCAGGGUCUUUCCUGGUUAAUGAGGCUAACAGGAAAAUCUUGAAAGCCAGCCAUGGAGAUGCCUAUCCCCGGGGGGCCUCCAAUCUCCAGUUAGAGGGUGCUCGCAUAGUACAAACUGAACGAGGACACGUAUGUGACAAACACAGACCUUAAAACAUGUCCAGGCACCAGAGUCAAAGCCAAAAUAGGACAUGGCGGUAAGGUACAUGACGUUCUCGUUGUCGUAUCCAGAGGAGAAGGAGCACUGCCGGUUUUCCAGGGCAAACCUAGACAAGUCGCUUAAAUUCUCAGAGUUUCGGUUGCUCAUCUGCAGACGAGAUGAUAGCAGGCAGGGACUAUUGCACAGGCUUGCUGUGGGAUCGCCAGGGGCCAUAUCCAUGAGGACUGUGACCUAACACAUUGCACAGGAGGAAAGUUGCCAUCCUCUGCCUUGAGAAGCUUCUUUGUGCUCGGACCUACACAGCCAUCUCAUCCAGACCUCCCCAAAGCGCGGUAAGGUAGAUACGAUCUCUAUUUUAUUGCUGGACUCGCAGAGACAUUAAGUCAUCUUCACAAGGUCCCACAGCUAGUAAACAACUGACUAAGAUCUGA